UUCAACAAGGCCCAGCAAAUUUCCAGUAUUUUAAUGGUCCACAAUAUCUAAUUUUCAUGCUGAAGACUAUUCUUCAGCUCUAAUGCCCUGCAAUUGGAAGCAUGGAGUGUACACAGUUUUAGAAUUCAAACAUAAGGUUACAACAACAGAAGAAGACUGUCAAAUCACAAAAUCAGCCCAAAAUAAUGGGAAAACAUAUUAGGACUUCAUCAGAGCUUGAAAUUCAGUUGGAAGAUCACAAAAUUAAAACAAAAUUUGAUUGGUCAGUCUGAUGGAUUUAUCUUCUAAUGAAGCAAUUUAGGAUUUUCUCAUCUAAAAAGCAAGCCGGUAGCAAGAUAUCUUUAGUUAUAUCGCAAAACAGUUUUUAGUAAAAGUUCUGUAGAUAAUGGUUUAGAUUUCUGUAAGAAUAGUGAAAUAGAUUAGUUUUAAUCGUUCAUUUCCAUUUAUAUGAUGACUCUCGCAUGAAAAUGAUGGAUCCAUUCAGAUCUUUCUUAUUCAUUUUCAAGAAGUUUUGACAUAUAAAGCUAGUUCUCGUUCUCGACAUCAGUAGGUUAACUACGUUUGCUUUGUUUAAUCACAGAACCAUAGCAUGUUUUAUGAAAUCUAGAGAAAAGAUGUACUCAUUGAUUGCCAGUACUUUCAUCUUGAUGUUAGUUUUACUUAAUGAUGCUUGAAGAGUAUACCUCUGGGGCGCUUAUGUAUCAUCAAAGGUAGUAUUCUUCUGUUUAUCCUCAAGAGAUUAAGUAGCUUAUCGUCAUCAAAAAGGAUAAAUCAGCUUAUAUUUUGUGCUGUGAAGUGUUAGUAAUGCCUUUAUUUAGUACAAGUUUUGCAGUAUUCAGUUGUUACCCUCAAUGGUUUUCACAAUUAGGGUAAAUGGUUGCGAAGGUUAGAAAGAUAGAAGCUAUUGAGUUGGGGGUUCUUAAAGAGAUGUAGAAAGAGUUACGGUAUCAGUUCAGGCUCAAGUUGGAAAAAAAAUAAAUAGGAAGGAAUAUUGGGCUGCAGCAUUGAUUGUGGGAAGUGAGUUGAGAAGAAAUCUUUUUACUACCAAAGGGAAAAUAACCAGUGAACAUUAAGCUUGCAUUUGGACAUGCGAUGUGAAGUCAUGAUUCAAAUCAACGUUUGUAUAUGCUAUUUUGAUCAUGAUUUCAUAUCCCCUAUUCUCCAAAAAACAUGAUUUGGGGAUUUUAAAUCAUGAUUUCAUUUUUUUAAAAUGUAGCACUUGGCCCAUAAGUGUAUAUUUUGUAAAAGAAAACAUGUCAUUUUAUAUUUUACAUAAAUGGACUCGUGCUCGGGGUGAAGAGAUUGUCGUACCAUGUGAAAUGAUUAUAUUAAAGAAUUACUAGUUACUACCUUUGUUGACUAGUGGGAACUUUAUAAAA